UAUUACAUAAAAAUAAGGUUUAUAAUUGCCGUUGACGAUGUUUACCAUGGAAGACUGAAGGAGUUUAACCCCUCAGAAAAAUAUGUACGAAGUGAAAGCCAAAGUCUUUUGAAGAAUUUUUCUAUCUCCCGAGGAGUUAAAACGCCGGAUUAUUGAAUUUCCUGAGGAAAACCGGGUGUGGAAUUUGCUGGAAGAUGGUUUAGGAAGGACGGAGCGAGGAGAGUGCGGCCGAGGCGGAGCUCGAGCGGCGAGGCGGCGGCGGCCGGUGGAGCGCGGGCUGGGCGCGCGGUGCGGCCGUUGGUCAUGGCGCUGUGCGGCACCACGGCGGCGGCGGGCCAGCAGCGCCAAAGCGUCGCCAAGCUGAUGGCUUAUAACGGCGCCGGGGCCGCCCAUCACCAUCACCACCACCACCACCACCAUCACAACAACCAUCAUCACCACAGUAGCAGCAGCAGCAGCAGCAACCAUCACCAGCAGCCGCCUCAUCACCCGCCGCCUCCUCACCAUCACCACCAUCUACACCCCGGCGCUGCUACUACUACUGCUGCUGGCGGCGGCGGCGCCGCUGCUGCUGCUGGGGGAGGUGGGGGGGCAGGAGGAGGAGGAGGCGGAGGAGGAGGCGGCAGCGGCGGCGGCAUCGGCACGGCGGUACACCCGGUCCAGCAUCACCAUCACCCGGCGGCCGCCGCCGCCGCUGCCGCCGCUGCUGCCGCCGCCGCCGCCAGCUCGGCCGCCGUCUCGUCCUCCUCGUCCUCUUCAUCCUCGUCGUCCGCCGCCGCCUCGGCCGCCGCCGCGGCGGCAGCAGCCGCCGCGGCGGCGGCGGCGAUGCUGAACCCGGGCCAGGCGCCGUACUUCCCGUCCCCGGCGCCGGCCGCCGCCGCCGCCUCGGUGCAGAUUCACGCCGCCGCGGCCGCCGCCGCCGCCAAGGCGCAUCAGCUGGACAUCGAGCCCGACAGACCCAUCGGAUACGGAGCCUUCGGAGUCGUCUGGUCAGUGACGGAUCCUAGGGAUGGAAAGAGAGUUGCACUCAAAAAGAUGCCCAACGUCUUCCAGAAUCUAGUUUCCUGUAAGAGGGUCUUCCGUGAGCUGAAGAUGCUCUGCUUCUUCAAACAUGAUAAUGUGCUCUCUGCGCUCGAUAUACUCCAACCUCCACAUAUUGACUACUUUGAGGAAAUCUAUGUUGUCACAGAGCUAAUGCAAAGUGACCUUCACAAGAUCAUCGUGUCUCCACAACCAUUGAGUUCAGAUCAUGUCAAAGUUUUCCUCUACCAGAUUUUGAGAGGACUGAAGUAUCUGCAUUCAGCUGGCAUAUUACACAGAGACAUUAAACCAGGGAACCUUCUUGUGAACAGCAACUGUGUCCUUAAGCAAUUUCUUCCAGUUCAUUUACGUGAGUUGGGAUUUGGUGGAAUUGUUAUAAUGGACGUAAGCAGUCAUAGAUGUGGCUAUUGGCUAUUCUUUUCUGCUUUGAGGAUUUGUGACUUUGGUCUUGCCAGAGUAGAAGAACUUGAUGAAUCUCGUCACAUGACCCAGGAAGUUGUCACUCAGUAUUACCGAGCACCAGAAAUCCUGAUGGGUAGUCGCCAUUACACUAAUGCCAUUGAUAUCUGGUCCGUAGGGUGCAUCUUUGCAGAGCUUUUAGGCCGUAGAAUCUUAUUCCAGGCUCAAAGUCCCAUUCAACAGUUAAUUAUUUGCCUCUGGCAGUUGGACUUGAUCACAGACCUAUUGGGAACUCCAUCACUAGAAGCCAUGCGGACAGCAUGUGAAGGUGCCAAGGCUCACAUACUCAGGGGUCCUCAUAAACAGCCAUCACUUCCUGUCCUUUACACACUAUCCAGCCAGGCUACCCAUGAAGCUGUCCACCUCCUCUGCAGGAUGUUAGUUUUUGAUCCUUCAAAAAGAAUCUCUGCAAAGGAUGCCCUGGCCCAUCCGUACUUAGAUGAAGGACGGCUCCGGUACCAUACUUGUAUGUGCAAAUGCUGUUAUACCACCUCUACAGGACGAGUUUACACCAAUGAUUUUGAGCCCAUCACCAAUCCCAAAUUUGAUGACAGCUUUGAAAAAAACCUGACAUCUGUUAGGCAGGUUAAAGAACUCAUUCAUCAAUUCAUUCUGGAACAGCAGAAAGGGAACAGGGUUCCGCUAUGCAUCAACCCACAGUCUGCUGCAUUUAAAAGCUUUAUCAGAGUACAGAAGAUAUUGCAAGUCUAGUUGCUGAUAAAGAAGGAAUAAUUUACUUGUAAUGGACAAGUGUGUGUUUUCUUCUAAAACUUCGUGACUGGGUUAGAAGUCAAGCCAAACGUUCUCUUCAAUUUGAAGCUCCACAGUAGCUCAGCCCUCUGAGAUGCCCCCAUCUCCACUGGUAUGGGAGUAAGUGGAAGAAACUACUGAUGACAAACAUUUUAGGUUCUCACUAGAGUCUAAAAUUUGCAGUACCAUUUAUGUCGGGACAAGUGUGUAAUUUUACUUAUAAAAUUUUUAAAAGUUAAAAUAAACCACUGAUAAUUGUAAAGAAUAUACUUUUAGGAAUAUGCUGGACUUGUAUUUUUUAGGGAUAAAAUUGGUGGUUGUGCUUUGAAAUAAAGCAGCUUUAGCAAGAGCUGCACAGUUUGUAUGUAUUUAUGGAACCAUGUGCAGCCUUCGUUUUUGGCUUUGGAAAAACAAAAGCUGCACUAAAAUGAACUGGGUGUCUUGACGUUGAAGUGGGACAUGGAACAGGCAUGUACAGGAUCUCUAAGGAAUCAACGCUGACCCAUUCCUGAAGACACUUGGAACUGAGACUGGCUAAGAAUACAAAGUUUAUGCCGACCAAUCAUGAAGUCACGUUGGUUGAUAAGGCUGUUUAAUGAAAUGGGCAUGUCACCUGACAGAUCAAUUCUUUAGCUUCUCUUCAGAGCUGUGACAGUGGUUUGCUGUUGUUUGUAAAACAUUGUGAUUAGAAAGAGAUGGAGUGAGUGUGGAUUUAUCACACAAAGUAAUUUAUGUUUCCCCAGUCCCUUAAUUAUAUUUAACCAAUUUUUAGAAACAUUUUGUUUUAUUUCUGCAGUCAAACCUCAAGCAUGCAUCAUCCCACAUCACUUGUGUAUAUAAGUCCAGUGUUGGGUAGAUUUUAAAAGUCUUGACAUUACUGUAUAGAGGAAUUAGCUUGCACAUUUUAGGUCUGUGAAAUAUUCCGUGGAAGUUAUUUUCAGCACUGGACAGUGUAACAGGAAAAAAAGCAGCACAUAGGCGAUUAUGUUAAUUGUGUCUUGUGUCUUUAGGCAGAACUGUGUGGAAGUGUUGAUCUGAAACGUCACAGUAGUGCAGUUUUAAUAUCCUUUCUGACAAAUCCUUAUCUACUGGAACACUGAACUAUUCUGUGUAUAUGUAUAUAUGAACAGAAAUUGAAGGCUCUACCUCCAGGAGUAUACAACUUGGUUUGUUUACCUCCACGUUUUUUUUAAAAACAAUUCAGCGUGGGGAUUUAAAACUUGAAUGUCCCUUCCAGCUUUUAUAUUUAAAAAAAAAAAAUUUUUUCACAUGUACGAAGGAACCUUUAUGGAUUGUCUUAAAUACACAAUUGUGUUCAAAGCUGAGAAUAUGACCCCAGGCUCGGUCAUUAGUACUUGACUGUUAAAUAACUGUAGUUCAUAUCUGUAUUUAGCAUUGGACUCUUGCUGCGAGUGACCCAGAGCAAAGGUGUGCACAGAUUUCAGUUAGAUCCCUAAUAUUUUUUUCCUUUUAAAACUUUAUCUUAAAUGAAGUACUGGCUUGCUGUGACAAAGAAUCGUCAUGCUGAAAAUUGCAUCAAUUUCAAUUAGAAACAAUGAAGAGGUUUAUGAAUUUUUUAAAAAUACAAAGUUAUUAAGCCUCCAGAGCUUGAAUAAUAAAUGAAGUUUUAAAGGCUUGUAUUUGAAGAUUUCUGUUUUCAGUAAACGGGGGCAAAAAAGUUCUGAGAGCCUGCUGAGAAACCAGUUUCAAGACUUCACCUGAGGUUCAUCGUCCUAUGUGACACAUUUGCCGGUCACUUUGUACAAUGUAGAUUUGAAGUACAGUGGUGGAAAUUCAUUAAAUGUGACAUUUAAAAGAAAA